GGAUGCGAUCAUACCAGCACUAAAGCACCGGAUCCCAUCAGAACUCCGAAGUUAAGCGUUCUUGGGCGAGAGUAGUACUAGGAUGUUAAGCGUUCUUGGGCGAGAGUAGUACUAGGAUGGGUGACCUCCUGGGAAGUCCGCGUGUUGCAUUCC
rnacentral:rRNA from 16 species